rnacentral:rRNA from 1 species
UACAGAGGUCUCAAGCGUUGUUCGGAUUCAUUGGGCGUAAAGGGUGUGUAGGUGGCGCCGUAAGUCGGGUGUGAAAUUUCGGAGCUUAACUCCGAAACUGCAUUCGAUACUGCGGUGCUUGAGGACUGGAGAGGAGACUGGAAUUUACGGUGUAGCAGUGAAAUGCGUAGAUAUCGUAAGGAAGACCAGUGGCGAAGGCGGGCUCUGGACAGUUCCUGACACUGAGACACGGAAGGCCAGGGGAGCAAACGGG